GGCACGCCUAAACAUGCAAGUCGAACGAAGUAGCAAUACUUAGUGGCAGACGGGUGAGUAACAUGUAGGUAUCUGCCCUUUGGCCUGGAAUAACACGAGGAAACUUGUGCUAAUACCGGAUAAGUCUUUACGGAGAAAGCUUUAUGCACCAUUGGAUGAGCCUGCACUUGAUUAGUUUGUUGGUGGGGUAAUGGCCUACCAAGACUGUGAUCAAUAGCUGAUUUGAGAGGAUGAUCAGCCACAUUGGGACUGAGACACGGCCCAAACUCCUACGGGAGGCAGCAGUGGGGAAUCUUGCACAAUGGAGGAAACUCUGAUGCAGCGAUGCCGCGUGAGUGAAGAAGGCCUUUGGGUUGUAAAGCUCUUUCGUCGGGGAAGAAAAUGACUGUACCCGAAUAAGAAGGUC
rnacentral:rRNA from 1 species